rnacentral:rRNA from 1 species
AACAAGGUCUCCGUUGGUGAACCAGCGGAGGGAUCAUUACUGAGUUACCGCUCAUCAACCCUUUGUGAACAUACCUUAACUGUUGCUUCGGCGGGUAGGCGUCCCCUAAAAAGGACGUCUCCCGGCCCUCUCCCGUCCGCGGGUGGGGCGCCCGCCGGAGGAUAACCAAACUCUGAUUUAACGACGUUUCUUCUGAGUGACACAAGCAAAUAAUCAAAACUUUUAACAACGGAUCUCUUGGUUCUGGCAUCGAUGAAGAACGCAGCGAAAUGCGAUAAGUAAUGUGAAUUGCAGAAUUCAGUGAAUCAUCGAAUCUUUGAACGCACAUUGCGCCCGCCAGCAUUCUGGCGGGCAUGCCUGUUCGAGCGUCAUUUCAACCCUCAAGCUCUGCUUGGUGUUGGGGCUCUACGGUUGACGUAGGCCCUUAAAGGUAGUGGCGGACCCUCUCGGAGCCUCCUUUGCGUAGUAACAUUUCGUCUCGCAUUGGGAUUCGGAGGGACUCUAGCCGUAAAACCCCCAAUUUUACUAAGGUUGACCUCGGAUCAGGUAGGAAUACCCGCUGAACUUAAGCAUAUCAAUA